GAGCCCCCCGACCUGGCGACCGUUCACUCGGGGGAAAGUCCGCCCACAGACAACGGCCGCCCGCGCAAGCGGGUAUCGGCAACGGUGUGCGGCAGGCAGAAGAAACGACACGUCCUUUGGGCAGGAUGAUGCGCGCGACGCAUUCGGCGACGUCUGCAAGCUAACCCGCUGACGUUCCAAAGGGAGCGAUGAAACGGCCAUGCCGCCGGCCCUGUGCAAGGCCUUCGCGCCGCUCAGUUGAAUGCCAGGAUGUCCCGACGCCCAUGGCGGGGAGAACAGAAGGCGGCUUACCGGGGGGCUC
rnacentral:RNase_P_RNA from 4 species